UUACUGUGAUUUAGCGUCAGCACAUACAGCACUGGAAAUUCUACUGCUUGUGGCACACAGCCCUGCCCUCUGCUUUUCCUUUCUCCAGUAAGGGCUUGCUGCUCCUCCUGCUGUUCAGCCAUCACCCGUUGAAUUCUAAGCCAAGCAACCUCAAAGGGUUAAUUGUCUUACUUCACUAUUCAAAAUAUACCAUGGCUGUUAAGCACGUAACUCAUGGGUUCUACCAACUCUUCUGCAAAAAUACAAGCAGGUAAACCACCAGAAAGCAGCUUUGUACCACUGAAAAGAAGCUUCACCCAGACCCUCCUGCUGCCUCUGACCCUUCAGUGCCAGUGGAGCCAGCUCCAUGUCCUCCAUCGUCCACAGCCCGCCCACCACCACCUCCUCCAGGGAUUUCUCUGCAGGACUUCUAAAUCAACAGAGGACUGCAAAGCCUUGGAGAGAGGGUUCUCAUCUUUCCCUUUACUGAGUGCUAUGCUAUACCCUGGCCAGGCUGUGCUCUGCGAAGCUCCUGGACAAGCUCUUCCCAGCAGGAGCAGCACCAAGUGCAGAUAGAAAACACUUCUGAAGUCGUGCAUCCCAUCUGAUAUUUAAAUGCAAAGAACCUAGGAAGGAUAGUCCUGGAUUACUGCUGCUUACAAGGAAGUGUACUUCUACAGAGGUCCAAAAGCCCUUCUGUACUCGGAAGCUGGGAUGGUUUGGCUUUGCUCUCCUUUAGCACUGAUGCAGCUUCAUUACCACCCAACAGGAAGUGAUGGUUACACUGCUGUCAAACUGGUGGAAAUAACAGGAUUAUCUUUGACUAACCAUGGGGUUUCCCACCUCAGGAACUGGAACAUCCUGAAAUCAUUCUGCUCCCAGACACGUCUUCUUUUUUUCCGUUUAGAUUAAAUAAUAUAUUUAGGGCCUCUGAAUGGCCUUAUGGUCUUCUGAGUGUGAAGCCUGCAAAAACAAGUGGGAAGGAAAAAGGCAGGUGGAGGAAAGGCUCAGCGAGAAGGCAAAGCUCUACCAGCCAAACCCAACUUCUCUUCAACUUACACAAAGGUAUUUGUCCAUCAAGAGAAAGGUGGGACCCUGGAAAGUCAUUCUAACCAACAUUUGAAAGUCUAUAAAUUCUGGAGGGACCAGGAAGAGUGCAAACAUUUUGUAAUUAGGGGCAAAACCCUGAGUGCUCCUACAAGUGUACUACAAGAGCACUACAAGUACUGAUAGUGAAGCCUCACUUCACUAUCAGUCCUGGGGCUCCCUGCCUCUCCCACCCCCCCCAGCCCAUGUACAGGAUGCAUUGUGGCUCCCCCAUCUUCUCAGCAUAUUUUGCUAUACUGAGC
ensembl:lncRNA